UACGUAGGUGGCAAGCGUUAUCCGGAUUUACUGGGUGUAAAGGGCGUGUAGGCGGGAAAGCAAGUCAGAUGUGAAAACCGCGGGCUCAACCUGUGGCCUGCAUUUGAAACUGUUUUUCUUGAGUACUGGAGAGGCAGACGGAAUUCCUCGUGUAGCGGUGAAAUGCGUAGAUAUGAGGAGGAACACCAGUGGCGAAGGCGGUCUGCUGGACAGCAACUGACGCUGAGGCGCGAAAGCGUGGGGAGCAAACAGG
rnacentral:rRNA from 1 species